rnacentral:sRNA from 1 species
CGAAUUCUGGUUUUGCAGUCGUCGUGCUCUUCUUCUUCUUCUUCCUCUUUAGACUCAUUUCG